rnacentral:rRNA from 1 species
UACGGAGGGGGCGAGCGUUAUUCGGAAUUAUUGGGCGUAAAGGGCGCGUAGGCGGCCUGGUAAGUCAAAGGUGAAAUCCCUCGGCUCAACUGAGGAACUGCCUUUGAAACUGCCAGGCUCGAGGCCGGGAGGGGGUGGCGGAAUUCCCAGUGUAGCGGUGAAAUGCGUAGAUAUUGGGAGGAACACCAGUGGCAAAGGCGGCCACCUGGACCGGUUCUGACGCUGAUGCGCGAAAGCGUGGGUAGCAAACAGG